rnacentral:rRNA from 1 species
GACGAGCGCUGGCGGCGUGCUUAACACAUGCAAGUCGAACGGAAAGGCCCUGCUUUUGUGGGGUGCUCGAGUGGCGAACGGGUGAGUAACACGUGAGUAACCUGCCCUUGACUUUGGGAUAACUUCAGGAAACUGGGGCUAAUACCGGAUAGGAGCUCCUGCUGCAUGGUGGGGGUUGGAAAGUUUCGGCGGUUGGGGAUGGACUCGCGGCUUAUCAGCUUGUUGGUGGGGUAGUGGCUUACCAAGGCGUUGACGGGUAGCCGGCCUGAGAGGGUGACCGGCCACAUUGGGACUGAGAUACGGCCCAGACUCCUACGGGAGGCAGCAGUGGGGAAUAUUGCACAAUGGGCGGAAGCCUGAUGCAGCAACGCCGCGUGCGGGAUGACGGCCUUCGGGUUGUAAACCGCUUUCGCCUGUGACGAAGCGUGAGUGACGGUAAUGGGUAAAGAAGCACCGGCUAACUACGUG